CGGGGUGUAGCGCAGUUUGGCAGCGCAACUGGUUUGGGACCAGUAGGCCGCAGGUUCAAAUCCUGUCACCCCGACCA
rnacentral:tRNA from 1 species